AGCAUGAUAGCUCAGUAGGAAGAGCGGUGAGCUCAUAACCCACCCAUAAGCCCCUGGAUCGAGAUCAGUUCAUGCUA